GAUAAGUUUAAGGGAAUGGGUGCUUCACGCUUAAUUGGGAAGUCCGGUGCAACACCGGCACGGUCCCGCCACUGUAAUGGGGAUGCCGCUUAAUGUAUGCCACUGGGAAACUGGGAAGGCUUAGGUGCGCGAUGAACCAGAGUCAGGAGACCUGCCUGUUCUAACACAUACCG
rnacentral:ncRNA from 1 species